AAUAAAAUACCUUUUUGUAAAGACUUUCCUCUACCUUAAUCUACAUAUAAGUAAUACAAUGUCGCAGUUUUAGUUUAACAGGAUAAAAGGCCUUCCCUUUAUAGCAAGCAUUUUAACAGUAGAAUUGUUUGUUUCCUUUUUGCAGUAUCCGGCAAGCACUGAAGUUGAGGAGACCCCUUUGGGAAUAGUUCCUCACCAAAUUCAAGGGUUUUUGUCCCUGUAUAAUUUAUUAAUAUCCCGUGGGGAAGCUUUUAGUAACUGCGUUUAUGCUCUGAGAAGGUCCUGCAUGCCUUUUGGGAUAACAAGGAAGAAUUGUUAUUAAAGUGUUGCAAGGACGCUCUUUACUUGGAGGAGAUUACCGAGUUGGCAUUUACGAAAGAAAAUUUUGAUCAAUUCUACUUGGACUCUGAUCUUGAGGAUAAUAAAGAGGAUUAAUAUUUAAUUGCUUCAUCAUUUUGCAGCUAUACAAAAUAACUUAAUAAAAUGGACGUUUCUUUAUAGGGGGUAUAGAAUUGCAACCUUGCCGAGUUCUUAGUCCGACACUCUGACACUCCCGUCACGCAGGCUAGGAGCGCACGUUUGUACUAAAAGCUGAACUUUUGUAUCAAGCAGUCGAUCCAACACCAAUAUUUUAUUUUCAUUUGAUA